GAUGAACGCUGGCGGCGUGCCUAAUACAUGCAAGUCGAGCGAACAGACGAGGAGCUUGCUCCUCGGACGUUAGCGGCGGACGGGUGAGUAACACGUGGAUAACCUACCUAUAAGACUGGGAUAACUUCGGGAAACCGGAGCUAAUACCGGAUAAUAUAUUGAACCGCAGGGUUCAAUAGUGAAAGACGGUUUUGCUGGCACUUAUAGAUGGAUCCGCGCCGCAUUAGCUAGUUGGUAAGGUAACGGCUUACCAAGGCGACGAUGCGUAGCCGACCUGAGAGGGUGAUCGGCCACACUGGAACUGAGACACGGUCCAGACUCCUACGGGAGGCAGCAGUAGGGAAUCUUCCGCAAUGGGCGAAAGCCUGACGGAGCAACGCCGCGUGAGUGAUGAAGGUCUUCGGAUCGUAAAACUCUGUUAUUAGGGAAGAACAAAUGUGUAAGUAACUAUGCACGUCUUGACGGUACCUAAUCAGAAAGCCACGGCUAACUACGUG
rnacentral:rRNA from 1 species